ensembl:miRNA cin-mir-4075 cin-mir-4075
GGUCCUUGAGUUCUGAGCACCUCAGCGGCCGCGCAGCCACCGAAAACACGGUGCUAGCGGUUGGUGUAAAGAUCCAAGGGCCACC